rnacentral:lncRNA from 1 species
CUAAGCAUUUUGUAUAUGUACAAUUAUUAGUUUAUCUAACAACAAUUUUAUAGAACAUUAGUUAAUGUUGUGAAUUUAGUAGAUUUUAAGAAAAAAAUAAAAUAAUAGAAACACAUUAAUAUUUUGUUUAAACAAGUAAUUUAUUUUUGCCAAGUUCUCAAUAAAUUUUCAUUUUAUUUAUUUUAUCUUUGUUUUCAGAACUAUGAUUCUUAAAUGCUUCUUCAUAUCUAAAAACUAUUUUAUCCAUCAAAUUACUACUAAUUUCAUUUGUAAAAUUUGAACUAAAAUUUUCAAGAACAAAUAAUUUGCAUGAUUAGAGGAGAACACAAGAAGCUACAAUUUUCAAGGGUUGUAAUUGGUUAAAAUUAAGAACCCUCAUUUCAUUGGUUUCAUAUUUAGAGACAUCAACUUAUGAAAAUAAAAUAUGCAUUUUAUAUAUGUGUGUGUUUGUAUAUACGUAUGUGAUAUAAAAUUUAUAAUCAAGAUAUCACAUACAUACUCAAUAUAAAAAAAUUAGUC